rnacentral:lncRNA from 1 species
CUAUGUCGGUUAUGAAUCAAAUGGGAUCUGGAUCAUUGAUUUUCGAUUUAAUUUCCUUAUGGAACAAAGUUUGAAUUUUGGUUAACUAUAUAGAUAAAUCCACCUUCUCUUAUAGCAUCUGAUUGAAUUUUGGUUAACUAUAUAGAUAAAUCCACCUUCUCUUAUAGCAUCUGAUUAGAUUCCAAAAAGGUGUGUUUGGGGGUUGAAACUUGGUUGUAUGGACAUUCUCUUUUGACCUCUCUCUUUUGUCGUUUCAUUUUAUUGAAACAUUCUGUGUUUCAUUAUUAGAUCAGUUGCAGUGUCCAUGGGAGUUAGUUUAGGUUUGAUGGAACCUACUGAUUCUUUUGUCCCCUUGUGGUUCUAUUUGGCGAUUGUAGUAUGUGAUUUGAUGGAUUGUCUUUCUUUCUUUUAAUGUUGUUUUUGAUGGUAUUAUCCUUUAAUAUCGGAAGUUUGGG